rnacentral:lncRNA from 1 species
AAUACAGAAAUCUUGUGAGCACGGCAGUAGGUAAGGCAGAAUGCAAAAGUCCUGGGAGCACGGCAGUAGAUAAGCCAAUAGCAAGGUAGGCGGUGGUGAGAGUAGCAAGGUAGAUGGUGGCGGCGGACUAGGAUUAUAGGUUAGGUGUAUAGUGCAGUGGACAUAGGUAGUGUUAUAAGGUUAGGGUAGAGACAGAUCAAAACACAGCAACAUCAUCGGCAAUGACAAUAACAACGGAAAGUGAAGCAAACAAAGUCAAUAUCGGUAAUGGUAACAUCAACGGCGGUAACAACGGCAAUAUCAACGGUGGCAGUAGCGGCAAUGGCAACAAUAAAUUCUUCCAUAUAAACUUUAGCUAAUUCACACAGACACAACUUCUCUUCAAUCAUCCUCUCCCCUUAAAGAGAAGGGGCCGUCAGAGUCAAGAAAUAAGCAACAUCUUCAUGGGAAUACAUAAGGGUAAUUGGGAUACAUCAAUAAACAUAUCCGUUU